UACCAGCACCCCGAGUGGUCGGGACGAUUAUUGGGCCUAAAGCCUCCGUAGCCGGUUUUACAAGUCCUCCGUUAAAUCCAGCUGCUUAACAGAUGGGCUGCGGAGGAUACUAUAAGACUAGGAGGCAGGAGAGGCAAGCGGUACUCAGUGGGUAGGGGUAAAAUCCGUUGAUCCAUUGAAGACCACCAGUGGCGAAGGCGGCUUGCCAGAAUGCGCUCGACGGUGAGGGACGAAGCCCUGGGGCGCAAACCGG
rnacentral:rRNA from 1 species